rnacentral:lncRNA from 1 species
UGCGUGACCGCGUGGCGGCAGUGUACGUGGCCUACUGGCGGGAAUGUGCGUGACCUCCAGGCCCUUUACCUUUGCCUGUGACCUCCCGGCCCUUUACCUUUGCCUGUAACUUUCCCAGAUUGCUUGUAAGUACGUGCAACGCUUUAAGACGUGACUUAGAUUCUUUCAAAAAUGUAGACUCCCCCAGGAAAUAACUACUUCAUCUUUUAGAAUUGCACAUAAAUGAUUUUUAAGAUUCUUGAGUCUUCCAGAGUGGGAGAACGCACAGAACUGGAAACCUCGGGGAGAUGCGACAACCUUUGUGUCCACCCCACUUUGCUGUGAGCCAGUUCCCUCAGGAACAAUGUAGCCCAGUGGUGUGCCCUGUGUUUACUGCUGAAAAUUCAGGAGAGAAACAAACCAGCCAACAAUCAGAGUGAGCAAAUCACUUCUAUCCUACCUCUCAUGAAAUAAUAGAAUUUUUUAAAAAAGGAAAAAAAAAUUCAAGAAAGAGUAUAAGAAGGUCUCUAAAUCAGUUUGGGAUGCUAUAACGAAAAAUACCACAGACUGGGUGGCUUAAACAACACACAUUUAUUUCUCAAAGUUCUGUAGGCUGAGAGGACCAAAUCGCUGGCAGAUGCAGUGCCUGGUGAAGGCUGCAUCCGCGUGAGACGUGCUGUCUCCUCAUUGUGUCCCACGUGGCAGGGGGAGCAGAGAGGAAGCCUGCUCUCAUGGUCUUCUCAUAAGAACACUAAUCCCACCAUGAGGUCUCUGGCCUCAUAACAUCUGCACCCAAAGGCCCUGUCUCCAAAUACCAUCACAAUGGGGACUAGGGGGCCCAUAUAAGAAUUGUGGAGGGACAGAAAUAUUCAAUCCACAGCAGGAGGCCUGCAGAAUUCCUAAAAGAAAGAAAGUGUAUUAAGCCAACAAAGAAAGAAUAUGGGGGAAAACAGCCUGGAAGAAAUCUGAAAGACAAUUAUGAGAAAAUGCUAUUGACUAGACAUGGGUUUUGAGGAGCUCCGAGUUAAGGCUCCACAGAUAAAAACUGCUCUGGGAUAGUUGUGGUGGGUAGUUAACAUGGUAACCACAACAGAAGCACCUGGACCCCUCUGGCCCCUACAUCUUCUUCCCCUUUACGGAGCAGUGGUCGGGAAGAGCAUUUGCCCCUGAGAAGGCAGGAAGUGAGAUUUCCUGAGCAAGAGAAUGAGGAGCGUGCCCAGGGAGCUGCUAGCAUCCGAGAAAGAACUCAUCCAUCCUGAGAGCCCUCAAAUAGCGCCUCACCUGCAGUUGCUACCCACGACUGACUCCUAGAAACAGAAGACCCCAACAGACCAUGACUGACUCCUAGAAACACAAGAGCCCAAUGGACCAUGACUGACUCCUAGAAACACAAGAGCCCAGUGGACAAGGAUUUCAAAGGAAAAGACAAAUCCACAAGCAUUUGGGCAAACCCUGUGCCAGGAGUCAAAUACACCAAACUCGAUGGAAAGAAGCACUAACAGCAACCUAAUUAAUAAAUAUAACAAGUGUAACUAAUUAUGACAAGGAUAUUAGAGAAGAUUAUUUAUACCUUACAAAGAAAUACCUGGUGAUCUCAGAAUCUUUUAAAUAUAAUUGUCAAAAAAUUCAUGGGUGAUCUAAAAGGUAAAAUGCACUCAAUUGAAAAGCAAAUUAGUUGAAAUAUUUUUAAAAAGAUUCUCCCAGGAAACUAGCCAAAAGAUCCAAAUGUGGAAAGUGUUUGAGA